UACGGGGGGGGCAAGCGUUGUUCGGAAUUACUGGGCGUAAAGGGCUCGUAGGCGGCCAACUAAGUCAGACGUGAAAUCCCUCGGCUUAACCGGGGAACUGCGUCUGAUACUGGAUGGCUUGAGUUUGGGAGAGGGAUGCGGAAUUCCAGGUGUAGCGGUGAAAUGCGUAGAUAUCUGGAGGAACACCGGUGGCGAAGGGCGGCCUGUUGGGCAGUGGCUGACGCUGAGGCGCGACAGCGUGGGGAGCGAACAGG
rnacentral:rRNA from 1 species